rnacentral:rRNA from 1 species
GACAGAGGGUGCAAACGUUGUUCGGAAUUACUGGGCGUAAAGCGCGUGUAGGCUGUCCUGUAAGUCGGGUGUGAAAGCCCUGGGCUCAACCUAGGAAGUGCACUCGAAACUGCGGGACUUGAGUCCUGGAGAGGAAGGCGGAAUUCUCGGUGUAGAGGUGAAAUUCGUAGAUAUCGAGAGGAACACCGGUGGCGAAGGCGGCCUUCUGGACAGUGACUGACGCUGAGACGCGAAAGCGUGGGGAGCAAACAGG